GGUCUUAUAGUCAAGUUAUGAUUUUAAAUUGCAAAUUUAAAGGAGGGGCAAUCCCUAAGGCUU
rnacentral:tRNA from 1 species